rnacentral:rRNA from 1 species
UAACCUGCCCUGGAGUGGGGAAUAACAGCUGGAAACAGCUGCUAAUACCGCAUAAUGCAGUUGGGCCGCAUGGCUCUGACUGCCAAAGAUUUAUCGCUCUGGGAUGGACUCGCGUCUGAUUAGCUAGUUGGUGGGGCAACGGCCCACCAAGGCGACGAUCAGUAGCCGGACUGAGAAGUUGGCCGGCCACAUUGGGACUGAGACACGGCCCAGACUCCUACGGAAGGCAGCAG